AACAUAUCAGGAAGGCACUUCCUUGUCAAAUCCUUGAAUUUCUCCCAUGCUUCAUAGAGGGUUUCACCAUCCUGCUACCUGAAUGUUUGAACCUCUGCUCUUAGCCU